rnacentral:rRNA from 1 species
CCUACGGGUGGCAGCAGUGGGGAAUAUUGGACAAUGGGCGAAAGCCUGAUCCAGCCAUGCCGCGUGUGUGAAGAAGGCCUUCGGGUUGUAAAGCACUUUCAGUGGGGAAGAAAGCCUUGGGGCUAAUACCCUCGAGGAAGGACAUCACCCACAGAAGAAGCACCGGCUAACUCCGUGCCAGCAGCCGCGGUAAUACGGAGGGUGCGAGCGUUAAUUGGAAUUACUGGGCGUAAAGCGCGCGUAGGCGGUCUGAUAAGCCGGUUGUGAAAGCCCCGGGCUCAACCUGGGAACGGCAUCCGGAACUGUCAGGCUAGAGUGCAGGAGAGGAAGGUAGAAUUCCCGGUGUAGCGGUGAAAUGCGUAGAGAUCGGGAGGAAUACCAGUGGCGAAGGCGGCCUUCUGGACUGACACUGACGCUGAGGUGCGAAAGCGUGGGUAGCAAACAGGAUUAGAUACCCUAGUAGUC